rnacentral:rRNA from 1 species
UACGGAGGGUGCAAGCGUUAUCCGGAUUUACUGGGUUAAAGGGUGUGUAGGCGGACUUUUAAGUCAGCGGUGAAAUCUCCGGGCUCAACCCGGAAACUGCCAUUGAUACUAUUGGUCUUGAAUGUUGUUGAGGUGGGCGGAACGGGUCAUGUAGCGGUGAAAUGCAUAGAUAUGACCCGGAACACCGAUUGCGAAGGCAGCCCACUAAGCAACGAUUGACGCUAAGGCAACGAAAGCGUGGGGAUCAAACAGG